CCAGUUCGACUACGGAGUUGACGACCCCUCUCUCUUGCCAGAGCAACCAGAUGCUGGAGUCCAGGAGCCAGACGCCACCGUCGACGAUGACCCCUACUACACCGGAGGUGCCUACUACUACGUGCAGCCCGCUGACGACGUCCAGGAGUAGUUAGGAGGAUCCCAGGCAGGAGGCCUGCGCCUCUUUCGAUCUGUAUCCCAGUUUGUGCUAGCCUUCUUAAGGCAAACUUGUUUAACUUAGGUCUGUACUCAGAUAUUGUUGCUUCCGCUGACUCGUCUAUGAUCGAGCACUUGUAUUCGAGCCCUCGAGGCCCC
rnacentral:rRNA from 1 species